rnacentral:rRNA from 1 species
AGCGAACGCUAGCGGCAGGCCUAACACAUGCAAGUCGAACGGACCCUUCGGGGUUAGUGGCGGACGGGUGAGUAACACGUGGGAACGUGCCUUUAGGUUCGGAAUAGCUCCUGGAAACGGGUGGUAAUGCCGAAUGUGCCCUUCGGGGGAAAGAUUUAUCGCCUUUAGAGCGGCCCGCGUCUGAUUAGCUAGUUGGUGAGGUAAUGGCUCACCAAGGCGACGAUCAGUAGCUGGUCUGAGAGGAUGACCAGCCACACUGGGACUGAGACACGGCCCAGACUCCUACGGGAGGCAGCAGUGGGGAAUCUUGCGCAAUGGGCGAAAGCCUGACGCAGCCAUGCCGCGUGAAUGAUGAGGGUCUUAGGAUUGUAAAAUUCUUUCACCGGGGACGAUAAUGACGGUACCCGGAGAAGAAGCCCCGGCUAACUUCGUGCCAGCCGCCGCCGUAAUAC